CCGGUCCGCCUUGGCUCUGCAGAACCUCACCGACUUAUGCUCUCCUUGCUGGGGUUGGGGACGUCUCUAAGUGGUUGCAAAACCCGCCAACUGCACUGCAUUCUUUAGAAAAGUAGUCUUUCUUUGCUCCCCAUUUCUCGGCUUCUGGAAAUUUGUGUGGGAAAGUGCUGAAGUUGGGUACAAGAGAAGUCAAGAAUUGGCUGUCGCUACUGUCACAAUUCAUUUCACUUUAGGCCCUUCAGAAACCCCAAAGAUGGCCAAGUUCAUCUUGGACAUCCCUAGAGUCUUGUCCAGGGAGAUUGCAGUGAAGAGUUCCAAUGAACGACUUCAGCCGGCUGUCUACCUCACUCCCUCCUGCCAGUUUCCGUCCUUUCUCCUCCUUCAGCAGCCACGCCCUCCAUGAAUCAGCUUCUUGCACCAGCAGAUGAGCCCUUUAAAGGGAUUGCAUCAGUCUGGUGACUCACUGGGGGCCCUCGAAAAUCCUGGCUUCCGUCCACUGCCGUGUAGAAGCGGCCAGAAGGGCUCGGUGGCAGCAGUACCAGCGGCCAUAGUCCCACUCCUUUGUCUCAGAGUUAACAAGUGUACUUGAUGACACUCUUCCCUCCCCUGGGUCAUUCUGGAUCCACGUGUAGACACACGUGGACACGACUAAGCCCUGCUAGGACACCGAAGGCUGGUCUUCAUAAUGAAGUCCCAGCCUGAAUCCUUUCUUAAUGUCUUUGAUUGGCUUGGUGGCCAUUCAGCUGCAGAUAAUGCUGAAUAACUAGUAAUGAUACCAGCUCCUAAGGCCCUGUCUUAUGCAAAAUGAGGCACUUUUAGAGACCUGUUAACAAAUGCAGAAGGUAGCACUCAGAGAGAGAGGGUAACCUCUGCCGUGACACCCAGCUAAUAAUGGCUGGGCUGUGGUUUGAAGAAAGUUUCGUGGGUUCCAAAAAGGCUAGAGCUUGAAUCCCCAUUGUAUCACUUACAAACUAGGUAAUUCAGUGUAAAUCCUGGCUGCCCAAGUGGGGAUAACACAUUACACCAACCAUGGGAGGACCCAAGGAGUUUCACAUCCAGCUAACCACACCCUAUAGAUGCCCACUGGUCUCAGUCGGGGAACCUCUAGGAGGCACGUGACUCAAAGGCAGGCAUCCAGAAGGCCGGCCCACUUUGCUCCUCUCUCUGACAAAGUGAGGAGAAAAAGGAUUCCGGAAGCCCUGCCUUUGACAGGGAUGAAUCUUGGGUUUUCCAGUUCACUAAUUACCAGUAAGAUGAAUCACUGGGCGCUGACACCACCAUUCCAACUCCUGGUAGGCUCUCAGCUGACUCAAAAUAUAGAAGUUUUAACAAAGCAGAGGAGGAGAAAGUGCCAGCCAGAGGAGAUUAAAAAAAAAAAAAAACUGUCAUCAGGACACCAACUCAUGGAUCUCUGGGACAUACAUGGGUGGUGACAGUCUCCUGCUGGCUCUCCAACUCUGGCUCACUGGCAGAUGGUGCUGCCAUAACAAAAUGACACCUGUCACAACAGCUCAAGAUGGCUUCUUGAAAAGAGAUAGGCAGAUUGGACUAUCACAGAAGGAGGGGAGACCUCACCCCCAGGAGCUUCUUCAGACUACAGAACCCCAACCCUACUUAGCAGCUGGGUUUUGGCUUCUUUGCGUCCAAGCUUCAAGGCCUGAGUAUGGCAAGGUUUGGUGUUGGUUUUGCUUUUUUUUUUUUUUGGUACCUGGGACUGAACCUAUGGCCUCUUCUGUGGUAGAAGGUAUUUCACCACUGAGCUGUAUCUCCACUGCUUUUGUUUUUGAGACAGAGUUUCAAUAAGUUGCUCAGGCUGGCUCUCUAGUCUCUAUAGUACUAUCUGGAUUUGAACCUGUAACCUACCUCCACUUCCCCAGCAGCCUGGAUUAUAGACUGCACCACCACAUCCAGCGGUGUAUCAGGUUCUGAGUGUCCAACUCACACUGGGGGUGAGCAAUAGAAUGGAUGCCAGGAGUACUGGGAAACAGAAGAGAGUCCCAGUGGCUAGAGAAGUAGCCCAGAUGGUACAAUGCUGGCCUUAGCGUGUGUGACUCACUGAGUCCCAACCCUAGUAUUACAAUAAACCCGACAUGUAAUCCCAGUAUCUUGGGAGGUGAAGGCACUCUUCCUUCCUUCUUUCACAGCAAAUUGAAGGCCAGCUUGGACUGCAUGAGACCACAUGUUAAAAAACAAACACAAGCCGGGUAGUGGUGGCACGCACCUUUAAUCCCAACCCUUGGGAGGCAGAGGCAAGCAGAUUUCUGAGUUCGAGGCCAGCCUGGUCUACAAACUGAGUUUCAGGACAGCCAGGGCUACACAGAGAAACCCUGUCUCCAAACAAACAAACAAACAAACAAACCAAAGAAACAAAAUAAAAGUGCCAGGGUUGAGAUGGGCUCUGGUAGCAGGGAAGCCUAACUUCAGAUUCCCAGUUGUUCACCUUGAGCCCAUCACGUUUACAAACUCUGUCUGAUGAAGCUGUUAAUACACAUACAUAGGAUAAGCCUGCAGCUCUGCCCCUUCGUGGGGUUUACCAAGCUCCCAACACAGGGCACAACAGCAAUCGUUGACUUCUGACCACCAUUACGCUGCCCAGCAGUUCCCAUUUAACUCAACCACUGGCUGGGGAGGAGUCCCCUCCCUUUCUGGAGAGACAUUUAAAAACUGUUUGUUUUGUUUUCCUUUAAAUACCAUUUUCCCAACAAACGUCAUGCCAUGCCCUCCCACCUUUGGAGACUGGGUCUUGCUAUGUAUCCCUGGCCUAGAACUCACUCUAUAGGCAGACCUACAAUUCUGCAGGCUGGCCUUGGAACUCAAGAAGAUCCACCUGCCCCUGCCUCUGAGGACCAAAGGCAUGGGCCACCAUGCCCAGCUGAUUACUUCCAACCUUAGCUAACAGCCAUUAAGCUUAUGACCAGAACUAGCGACCUAGAAUGCUUACCUUGCUGUUGGUAUACUUCUAUGCCCUUGCAGAAUCUAAGCUGCUCUCAUCCAAAAUGUACUAUCUCUGGGUCUUCCUGGAAUGCUAAUGAGAACGUCGAGGACCCUUGUUACCUCUGCCUACCCUUUGGCCAGGGAUGCCAGACUAGAGUUCACUGGACUGUUUAAGUCCCACCUGCUCAGCCAUGCUGAGACGAGGGCAUACUCUUGUCCCUUGCAUGUUUCUGGCAUGAGUCAACAUAUUUAUGUCCAUUCAGCAUUCUAAACUUCAGUGGUCUCCUUCCUUCAAACAUUGAUUGCACCCCCC
rnacentral:lncRNA from 1 species